rnacentral:rRNA from 1 species
UACCAUAAGCAAAUUAAGGGCGUAUGGGAAUGCCUAGGCUCUCAGAGGCGAUGAAGGACGUGAUAAGCUGCGAUAAGCUGUGGGGAUUGGCACAUACAAUUUGAUCCGCAGAUUCCGAAUGGGGCAACCCGCAUAUUGAAGAUAUGUCAUCUGUAAAGAAGCAAACCGGUGAACUGAAACAUCUAAGUAGCCGGAGGAAGAGAAAACAAAAGUGAUUCCCUAGUAGUGGCGAGCGAACGCGGAAUAGCCCAAACCAAUUAGGUUACGGCCUAAUUGGGGUUGUAGGACCACGCUAUUUGAUGCAUAAUGAAUUAGAAUCCUUUGGAAAAAGGAGCCAUAGAAGGUGAUAGCCC